GCAUUCUAAUUUUGAAACAAAAUGACAUCUCAAACUUCACAUGCAUACAUUCUGUCAUAUAUGUUUAUACUUGCAAACAAAGCAUGACACAUGUUUCAAAAGAAAAGAAAAAGGAAGGGUCUUGAGCCUUGUGUUGCUGUUGAGUCGAGCCUGAGUCAUCGAGUCAGAGGGGCGUCGCCACUUCGCCGGGGGCGGAGUCGCGGCGGCGGAUCGGGUUGAGGGGGAGAACCGGCGGCAGCUGCUCAUCUGCUAGUGUCCGCCGAAGAAUUUGAGGGAGAAGCGGCGAGGCAAGGGCUUUGUCGCCGCUGUGAGCCGGGUCUGGAGUAGUUGGGUAGUAUCGGUGGCGGUGGAUCUGUUGUCGUUCACCGGAGGUCAUGAAAGGGUGGCGGCCCGGAGAUCAGAGGGAGAAAGAGAGGCAUGCCGGUGAUGGUGGCUUGGCUGCUGUCGCCGAAAGGUCGAGGGAGUCCUAGUGUCGAUGGAGACAGGGUGAGAAAUGAGCGGAUUGAGAGAGAGAUGAGUGUGUGAUUUUA
rnacentral:lncRNA from 1 species